UGUAAGCAGAGGGAGUAUGCUAAGAAAAGGUACUAGUUCCAUGAAGUAUAGGGCCCAACGUUGCUGAACCAAAGGCUUGCUGAGUCUAGUAAGGGUGCAUGGCUUGGACAGGGUGCAGGAAGCAAGUGGUAUUGGGCUCAGGACUUUGAGGCCCACCACGAAAUGUACAGGUAAGGGUGAAUCCAACAAAACUCCCUUACUUGAAUCAUUCAAAUUCAAUUCUCUCUCCCUCAAACAACUCCUCACCGGAACCUUUGCUCCGCCGCGCCGAAAAUCGCCUCCGAUGGCUGCGGAGGUCCAAACCACUCCCAACCUACCUCAGUUUAUUCGUCCCUCUCUUCUCUUUCAUAAUCCCAAAAUUAUUUUUUCCUAACUCAUAUCCAUAAGCUCAGAUCGAAACCACGAAUUCAAGAACCCUAUGUGCAAAUUAAUUAAAUACUACCAAGGAGGAAUCAAAGCCUAAAAUAUUAGGGCUUUGAUUCCUCAAGACUAAUGCUACAUAGUGGUAACGCGACUUACGUGAAUUGAUAAAGAAGAAAUGACACUCACCUACGAGGCGGAGAUUGGCCUCAGAACUGUAGGAAUUAAAGAAGGUGAAGCUGAAAACAGAGGAGAAUCAAAGAUAUUCAGAGCCAUUACACACAUGAGAUGAUUUGGCAUGGGAUGGGAAAGUUUGAAGAUAUUGGCUUAAGCAUAAUGGUCGUAAGGUUUAAAGAAAUGGACCAAAAAUUGCAUUGAACCAAAUGGAUCAUGAAGGCAAAUCAUAGCAUGAUUGAAGAACAUCUUGAAAAGGGAAGAUCAAUGUGGAUUUAGGAGUUAGAGUAACUAGUUUGACUUUGGUCAAAUGUUGACAAAAAAUUUAACAGUUGACCAAAGUCAACUUUAGGUCAACAAUGGGUAUUUUUGUAUAGAAUUUGGAUUUGUAUCUCUUGUAGUGCAACUUGGAAUGUUUAUAAUGAUAUUUGACCCUUGAAUGGCAAUGUAGCUUAAUCUUCAAGAAAA